rnacentral:rRNA from 1 species
AACGAACGCUGGCGGCAGGCCUAACACAUGCAAGUCGAACGCUCCGCAAGGGGAGUGGCGCACGGGUGAGUAACACGUGGGAACCUACCUUCUGGUACGGAACAACCAAGGGAAACUUUGGCUAAGACCGUAUACGACCUCCGGGUGAAAGAUUGAUCGCCGGAAGAGGGGCCCGCGUCCGAUUAGGUAGUUGGUGAGGUAACGGCUCACCAAGCCUUCGAUCGGUAGCUGGUCUGAGAGGAUGACCAGCCACACUGGGACUGAGACACGGCCCAGACUCCUACGGGAGGCAGCAGUGGGAAUAUUGGACAAUGGGCGCAAGCCUGAUCCAGCCAUGCCGNGUGAGUGAUGAA